UACGAGGGGUGCAAGCGUUGCUCGGAAUUAUUGGGCGUAAAGGGUAGGUAGGUGGUCUGAUUUGUCAGGGGUGAAAGCCUUGAGCUUAACUCAAGAAGUGCCCCUGAAACGGUCAGACUGGAGUCUUGGAGAGGGUCGUGGAAUUCCCGGUGUAGCGGUGAAAUGCGUAGAGAUCGGGAGGAACACCAGAGGCGAAGGCGGCGACCUGGACAAGCACUGACACUCAACUACGAAAGCGUGGGGAGCAAACAGG
rnacentral:rRNA from 1 species